GACGAACGCUGGCGGCGUGCUUAACACAUGCAAGUCGAACGGAAGGCCCCUUUGGGGGUACUCGAGUGGCGAACGGGUGAGUAACACGUGAGUAACCUGCCCUUGACUUCGGGAUAACUUCAGGAAACUGGGGCUAAUACCGGAUAGGAAUCCUUGCUGCAUGGUGGGGGUUGGAAAGCUUCGGCGGUUUUGGAUGGACUCGCGGCUUAUCAGCUUGUUGGUGGGGUAGUGGCUUACCAAGGCUUUGACGGGUAGCCGGCCUGAGAGGGCGACCGGCCACAUUGGGACUGAGAUACGGCCCAGACUCCUACGGGAGGCAGCAGUGGGGAAUAUUGCACAAUGGGCGGAAGUCGGAUGCAGCAACGCCGCGUGCGGGAUGACGGCCUUCGGGUUGUAAACCGCUUUCAGCAGGGGCGAAGCUUGUGGUGACGGUACCUGCAGAAGAAGCACCGGCUAACUACGUG
rnacentral:rRNA from 1 species